CCUACGGGUGGCAGCAGUAGGGAAUCUUCGGCAAUGGACGAAAGUCUGACCGAGCAACGCCGCGUGAGUGAAGACGGUUUUAGGAUCGUAAAACUCUGUUGGUAGAGAAGAACGUUGGUGAGCGUGGAAAGCUCAUCAAGUGACGGUAACUACCCAGAAGGGGACGGCUAACUACGUGCCAGCAGCCGCGGUAAUACGUAGGUCCCGAGCGUUGUCCGGAUUUAUUGGGCGUAAAGCGAGCGGAGGUGGUUUAUUAAGUCUGGGGUAAAAGGCAGGGGCUAAACCAUUGUAUGAAAUGGAAACUGGUAGACUUGAGUGCAGGAGAGGAGAGUGGAAUGCGAUGGGUAGCGGUGAAAUGCGUAGAUAUAUGGAGGAACACCGGUGGCGAAAGCGGCUCUCUGGCCUGUAACUGACACUGAGGCUCGAGAGCGUGGGUAGCAAACAGGAUUAGAUACCCGGGUAGUC
rnacentral:rRNA from 1 species